UUUAAAUCGUAGUUGCGGUCACCCUGAUCUACUCCCCAUUUUUACAAAAAGCCAAAUGAAAAUUAAAAUAAAAACUUCGUACCUUUAAUUUAAUGCAAUAAUAUGUGCAAUUUGAAGCAUGCCGAUACAGGCGCCCUCAUGGACAGACUUUCUGAACUGUCCCAUCUGCUGCAAUGAGUUUGCAGCCAGUCAGCGUGUACCGAUCAGCCUGGGAUGUGGUCACACGAUAUGCAAGCUAUGCCUGACCACGCUCUACAAUCGCCAAUGUCCCUUCGAUCAGACAUUGAUUGUAACGGAGAUCGACAACUUGCCCAUUAACUAUGCACUGCUGCAGCUGGUGGGAAGUGGAAAUGGAGGUGGCGGCGUGGCAGGAGGCAAGGCAGUGGCCAGCAAGGACUCAGAGCUGGCCGAUCUGGCACCAAGUGUACAGAAACUGCAGCCCGAACAACUCAAAUGCUAUAAGCUGGGCAAGAAAUGCAUCGAGGAUCUGGCGCUGCACCUCAAAUCAUUUCUCAAUCUAAACAGCAGCAAUCUGCUGACAAGACCCAUGCAGCGCAAACUCGUCACCCUGGUCAACUGUCAGCUGAUGGAGGAAGAGGGUCGUGUGCGUGCUUUACGCGCUGCUCGCUCGCUAGGCGAACGGACGGUGACCGAACUGAUACUGCAGCAUCAGAAUCCCCAGCAGCUUAGCUCCAAUCUGUGGGCAGCAGUGCGGACACGCGGCUGCCAAUUCCUGGGCCCAGCGAUGCAGGAGGAAGUGUUGAAACUGGUCUUGCUGGCACUGGAAGAGGGUUCGGCGUUGUCGCGCAAGGUGCUGGUUAUGUUUGUGGUGCAACGGCUGGAGCCACACUUUCCACAAGCCUCCAAGACUAGCAUUGGCCAUGUGGUGCAGUUGCUGUAUCGUGCCAGCUGCUUUAAAGUGUCCAAACGCGAGGCGGACUCCUCGCUGAUGCAGCUGAAGGAAGAGUUUCGCACCUACGAUGCGUUGAGGCGAGAGCAUGAUGCACAAAUUGUGCAAAUUGCUACCGAAGCGGGAUUGCGCAUAGCCCCCGAGCAAUGGUCGUCGCUGUUGUACGGCGACAUUGCGCAUAAGUCGCACAUGCAGAGCAUCAUCGACAAGCUGCAGACACCAUCAUCGUUUGCACAGUCGGUGCAGGAGCUGGUUAUAGCUCUGCAACGCACCAGCGAUCCGGCCAAAUUGUCGCAGCUGCACAAUCAUCUGCAGUACUUGGCCAGCAUUGACCCGUGCGUGGAGACAGCACCCUGGGAGGAUGUGUCCAAGGCGCUGGACGCUGUGCGACAUGCAGUUAUGGGACUGGUCCACUUCCUGCAGCAUCACGGCGUACGCAAGCCGCAGGACAGCAGUUUGGCUAGCGGCUCAACGAACAGCAACAACACCAAGUACAAGAUCAGUCUGUGUCGCGAUCUCAACGUGCGUCGUGUGUGUCCACGAGGCGCCAGCUGCACAUUCGCCCACUCCCAGGAGGAAGUCGAACGCUAUCGUGCACGCAAUCGCGGCAAACACAUCAAAUCGCCCAUGCCGAUGGCCAUGCCGAAUAUGCCGGUCAACAACAAUGGCAAGAAGUCGUUGCCCAUGGGCAACGAAGUGCAGCAGCAGCAACAACAACAGCAGCAGCCACCUCCGCCACAUGCGGGUCCCAUGAUGCCCAUAUCGCCCAUACGCUAUAUGCAAGCAUCCGCACCACCGCCACCGCAUAGGGGCUACUUGGAGCCUUUGCCCCCAGCAGUUGCACACAAUCUGUCGCCAAGCGGUGUGCAUGGCCAGCUCAUGCAUCCACAUCACAGUCCCAUUGCUCGACAACAGCAACAACAACAGCAGCAGCAGCAGCACACGGCUUUGAAUGGUCUCUUGGUUGCGCCACCUGGACGCUAUGAGCCACGCUUCAACUUUGGCCCGGCGCCAACGCAGCCACGAAAUGCAGCACGCGACUACUCUGGCAAUGUGGCAGGUGCUGCUGGCGUGCAACGUAACCCACCGAAUUACAACAGCAACAACAACAACAGCAAUAGCAGUCAACUACAACACAAUCAUGCCAAAAGCUUUUGCAGCAUGCUUCCAACGGAUGUCUAUCAUUCGUCCUUCUUUGGCAACACCAACACCAUCAACAACAACAACAACAAUAACGAUGCGCAAGCGAAUAGCAAAGAACAGCCACCCACAAAGCUGGGGCAACAUUUAGCCGCUGGCGGUAAUCCUGGAAAUCCCUGGGAGCAUACGUAUAUGCAACAGCAGCUAGCGACGCUAACGUCGCCGACGUCGUCGUCGUCGUCGUCCAGCAAGAACCCCAAUCGACCGGGCAUGUCGACCAUUUUACCCGCAACAGCUGAUACCUCAUUUUACGAAAAGAAACCGCCGAGUAAUGUUAACAUAGACCUGGAGCUGGUGAAGCCCAUGGGCGAUAGUGGAGCAACCAAUCCAGAUGCGAUACCGCUGCCGCUGUUCAGGUCCAACCACAACACUAGCAACAACAGUGGCAACAGCAACAACACCAACACCAGCAACAAUAGUAGUAACAACAACAACAGCAACAAUAAUAAUAAUAGCUCUCUCAUAUUCUGGAGUACACACAAUAAGGAUUCGGCCAACUUUGUGCGCUCCGAUUCGAUACUGGAUGACGAUGCGUCACCCUAUGAAGUUCCCUCUGGCUCAUCGAUGCACAGUCGCUACGGUCCCAUUUGUCCCAAACGCUCGACGAGCAAUUGGAACAAUUGGAUGAUGGAAAACGAUGUGAAAAUCGGCGAUAAUGCCGUCGCCUUCAAUGACAGGCUGAAAACCGAGCACAAUGACAAUGUCAAUCCAAAUGCCAAUAAGAAUACAGCUGGCGUGUUCAUCUGGAAUGAUUUGAACGCGAAUGCGACGAGUCCAUCGAGCAAUUACUGGAGCAACAACACAAGUGAUGCAGAUGCAGCCGGAGUUGCAGCAAGUGCAAGCCAAGGCGAAAGACUGAAACAUCACCUGAUCCUGGAUAGAAAGCCACAGCUGCUGUCCGAGGACAGUUUCGAGGGUGGCAUCGAUAGCGGCAUGAUGAGCGAGUUGGAAAAGAAUCUGGUUGACAUUGUUGAGGUCUGGUCGAAUCCAGAUGACAGCGGCAUUAAGUUGGAUUAAAUUUGCGACAGCAGAGAACCAGAGCCAGGGAACUAACUCAUCGAACUCACAGUUUGAGGAGGAAACAUAAUGCAAUCAUUUUACAGUUGUGUCCACAAUUUGAAGGACACUUUAGAGUGUAAAGCGAUGAUGACACGACGACGAUGAUCCGAAAGGCUUCUAAACAUGCAUAAAGCCCUACUAUAUAUAGAUACUAUAUGAAAAUGAAAAAAAAAAAAACAAAAACAACAAAAAACUAAAUAUGUAUAUGUAAAUGUAUGUAUGUGCGUAUGUAAUACAUGCGCUAUAUAUUUUAAUUGAUAUAUUAAUAUUAUAUAUUAAUGUCAGAUGAUCCCCCACGUUUGCUUUCGAUUCAAAUGCAAUUUAACAAUGGAUUUUUUUUCGUAAUAUUUGAGCAAAAGUCAAGAACCCAUCAUACCUAUUAUAUUCAUCGUUUGUUUCUAUGAUUGAUCAGUGAAUAAUGAAAAGAAAUGAAAUGUGUUUUGUUAAACCGAUAGAUGUAAAUUAAUUUCUCAGUUGUUAAUGGGAAGUCGAAAACCAAGCGAACGAGUUUAGUUAAUGAAAAGCAAUGCAUACAUAUGUGAAAUGUAUGUAUUUCCUAUAUAUGAUGCAUUAAAUGUAUGUAAUAACUAUGUAUACUUAAGCAACAAACAAAAACAACUAACUGAUUAACGAUAGAGAAAUGCGAAUGAGAUUUGUAAAAAUGUGUAUUUGUAAUCUGAUUUUACACUCAUUUGCCACGCUCCCCAUGCCCACGCAUCACCUCAAUUGAAAUCAAAACCAAAUUAGUCAAUCAAUCAAUCAGUCAAUCGAGCACCCAUCAAUCCUUAAUCCGCAACGUACCCAGCGUACUUAAAAGACACCACACUCGGUAUUCGGGGCAUAAACUGGACGUGGUGCAGUUUUAGUCUAAACCCAAUGGGUUCAUAACUCUCGUUGUUGAGUUGAGUUUUGUAAUCUUAUAAUUAUAGAAAUUGUAAAAACAUACUACAUAUAAUAUGCAAACUAGGUAUGAUAAUUGAAAGCAAUUUUCAAGCUUCUGAAAUCCGUUCGUUUUAUUGCCGCGAGCAAAAGCAUCUAAACAAUUUUUUGAUUAUAUUGUAUCUUAUCUAAAUAUACACAAAAAAAUAUCAUAUUUUAUUUAUAUGUAUUAUGCGUAUUUUUUGUAUUAUUACUAAAAAUGUUAAUCUUAAGCAAUUUUCGAGUUCUGUUAACCCCAAACAACAAACAAUUUAAUUUAUUUUAUUUUUGCCAA